rnacentral:rRNA from 1 species
UACGUAGGGUGCGAGCGUUGUCCGGAAUUAUUGGGCGUAAAGAGCUCGUAGGCGGCUUGUCGCGUCGGAUGUGAAAGCCCGGGGCUUAACUCCGGGUCUGCAUUCGAUACGGGCAGGCUAGAGUUCGGUAGGGGAGAUCGGAAUUCCUGGAUGUAGCGGUGAAAUGCGCAGAUAUCAGGAGGAACACCGGUGGCGAAGGCGGAUCUCUGGGCCGAUACUGACGCUGAGGAGCGAAAGCGUGGGGAGCGAACAGG